AUCGGGGCAGGGUGAGUCGACCCCUAAGGCGAGGCCGAAAGGCGUAGUCGAUGGGAAACAGGUUAAUAUUCCUGUACUUGGUGUUACUGCGAAGGGGGGACGGAGAAGGCUAUGUUGGCCGGGCGACGGUUGUCCCGGUUUAAGCGUGUAGGCUGGUUUUCCAGGCAAAUCCGGAAAAUCAAGGCUGAGGCGUGAUGACGAGGCACUACGGUGCUGAAGCAACAAAUGCCCUGCUUCCAGGAAAAGCCUCUAAGCAUCAGGUAACAUCAAAUCGUACCCCAAACCGACACAGGUGGUCAGGUAGAGAAUACCAAGGCGCUUGAGAGAACUCGGGUGAAGGAACUAGGCAAAAUGGUGCCGUAACU
rnacentral:rRNA from 1 species